UGAAUACGAGACGCUAAGGCGUCGAAGUAGUGUAUGUCAUACUUCCAAGAAAAGCUUGCACUGUCAUAGAUAAAAAACGCCUGUACCAUAACCGACACAGGUGGGUAGGUAGAGUAUACUAAGGGGCGCGAGAUAACUCUCUCUAAGGAACUCGGCAAAAUAACUCCGUAACUUCGGGAGAAGGAGUGCCUUAUUAUUAAGGUUGCAAUAACAAGAUCCAAGCAACUGUUUAUCAAAAACACAGGUCUCCGCUAAGUCGUAAGACGAUGUAUGGGGGCUGACGCCUGCCCAGUGCCAGAAGGUUAAAGAAGCUGGUUAGCAUUUGCGAAGCUAGUAACUGAAGCCCUGGUGAACGGCGGCCGUAACAAUAACGGUCCUAAGGUAGCGAAAUUCCUUGUCUGGUAAGUUCCGACCCGCACGAAAGGCGUAAUGAUUUGGAUACUGUCUCGGAGAGGGGCUCGGUGAAAUAGACUUGUCUGUGAAGAUGCGGACUACCUGCACCAGGACAGAAAGACCCUAUGAAGCUUUACUGUAACUUGAAAUUGAAAUUGGACUUUAUUCGCGCAGUAUAGGUGGGAGGCGUUGAUUAUAAUCUUGCGGGAUUAUUGGAGCCAUUAGUGAGAUACCACUCUUGUAAUGUUAGAUUUCUAACUUUGAAUCAUUAUCUGGUCAAAGAACAGUUUCAGGCGGGCAGUUUGACUGGGGCGGUCGCCUCCUAAACGGUAACGGAGGCGUACAAGGGUUUCCUCUGAACGGUUAGAAAUCGUAUCUAGAGUGUAAAGGCAUAAGGAAGCUUGACUGUGAGACCUACAAGUCGAGCAGGGACGAGAGUCGGUCUUAGUGAUCUGACGGUACUGAGUGGAAAGGCCGUCACUCAACGGAUAAAAGUUACUCUAGGAUAACAGGCUGAUCUCCCCCAAGAGUUCACAUCGACGGGGAGGUUUGGCACCUCGAUGUCGGCUCAUCGCAUCCUGGGGCGGUAGUACGUCCCAAGGGUUGGGCUGUUCGCCCAUGAAAGCGGUACGCGAGCUGGGUUCAGAACGUCGUGAGACAGUUCGGUCCAUAUCCGGUGUAGGCGUUAGAAUAUUGAGAGGAGCCUUCUUUAGUACGAGAGGACCGAGAAGGACAUACCUCUGGUGUACCAGUUAUCGUGCCAACGGUAGACGCUGGGUAGCUAUGUAUGGAGUGGAUAACCGCUGAAAGCAUCUAAGUGGGAAGCCCACCUCAAGAUAAGUAUUCUCAU
rnacentral:rRNA from 1 species